CAACUUUUAGCAACGGAUCUCUUGGCUCUCGCAUCGAUGAAGAACGCAGCGAAAUGCGAUAAGUAAAGUGAAUUGCAGAAUUCAGUGAAUCAUCGAAUCUUUGAACGCACCUUGCGCUCCUUGGUAUUCCGAGGAGCAUGCCUGUUUGAGUGUCAUG
rnacentral:rRNA from 1 species